AACUACUGGAAACGGUAGCUAAUACCGCAUAACGUCGCAAGACCAAAGAGGGGGACCUUCGGGCCUCUUGCCAUCGGAUGUGCCCAGAUGGGAUUAGCUAGUAGGUGGGGUAACGGCUCACCUAGGCGACGAUCCCUAGCUGGUCUGAGAGGAUGACCAGCCACACUGGAACUGAGACACGGUCCAGACUCCUACGGGAGGCAGCAGUGGGGAAUAUUGCACAAUGGGCGCAAGCCUGAUGCAGCCAUGCCGCGUGUAUGAAGAAGGCCUUCGGGUUGUAAAGUACUUUCAGCGGGGAGGAAGGCGAUAAGGUUAAUAACCUUGUCGAUUGACGUUACCCGCAGAAGAAGCACCGGCUAACUCCGUGCCAGCAGCCGCGGUAAUACGGAGGGUGCAAGCGUUAAUCGGAAUUACUGGGCGUAAAGCGCACGCAGGCGGUCUGUCAAGUCGGAUGUGAAAUCCCCGGGCUCAACCUGGGAACUGCAUUCGAAACUGGCAGGCUAGAGUCUUGUAGAGGGGUGGUAGAAUUCCAGGUGUAGCGGUGAAAUGCGUAGAGAUCUGGAGGAAUACCGGUGGCGAAGGCGGCCCCCUGGACAAAGACUGACGCUCAGGUGCGAAAGCGUGGGGAGCAAACAGGAU
rnacentral:rRNA from 1 species